GAAGAAAGCUGGCGGCGUGCUUAACACAUGCAAGUCGAACGGAAAGGCCCUGCUUUUGUGGGGUGCUCGAGUGGCGAACGGGUGAGUAACACGUGAGUAACCUGCCCUUGACUUUGGGAUAACUUCAGGAAACUGGGGCUAAUACCGGAUAGGAGCUCCUGCUGCAUGGUGGGGGUUGGAAAGUUUCGGCGGUUGGGGAUGGACUCGCGGCUUAUCAGCUUGUUGGUGGGGUAGUGGCUUACCAAGGCUUUGACGGGUAGCCGGCCUGAGAGGGUGACCGGCCACAUUGGGACUGAGAUACGGCCCAGACUCCUACGGGAGGCAGCAGUGGGGAAUAUUGCACAAUGGGCGGAAGCCUGAUGCAGCAACGCCGCGUGCGGGAUGACGGCCUUCGGGUUGUAAACCGCUUUCGCCUGUGACGAAGCGUGAGUGACGGUAAUGGGUAAAGAAGCACCGGCUAACUACGUG
rnacentral:rRNA from 1 species